GGCUCCAUAGCUCAGUGGUCAGACCGCUGGUCUCGUAAACCAGGUGUCAUGAGUUCGACUCUCACUGGAACCU